rnacentral:rRNA from 1 species
CCUACGGGAGGCAGCAGUGGGGAAUAUUGGGCAAUGGAGGCAACUCUGACCCAGCAACGCCGCGUGAAUGAUGAAGGUCUUCGGAUUGUAAAGUUCUGUGAUGGGGGAUGAACACAAUGACGGUACCCCAAUAGCAAGCCACGGCUAACUACGUGCCAGCAGCCGCGGUAAUACGGAGGGGGCAAGCGUUAUCCGGAAUGACUUGGCGGAAAGGGGGCGAAGGGGGUUUAGUAAGUUCGCGGUGGACUUCCGGGGCUUAACCGCGGCGCUACCGCCAAAACUAUUAGACUAGGGGGCAGGAGGGGUAAGUGGAAUUCCUAGUGUAGCUGUGGAAUGCGUAGAUAUUAGGAGGAACAUCAGGGGCGAAGGCGACUUACUGGACUGUAACUGACACUGAGGCACGAAAGCGUGGGGAGCAAACAGGAUUAGAUACCCGAGUAGUC